GCGAGUUUUAACUGAGCGUUCAGUUACUUGACGUAGACCCGAAACCGGGCGACCUACCCAUGAGCAGGAUGAAGCGAAAGUAAAAUUUCGUGGAGGUCCGAACCCACGAGCGUUGAAAAGCUCGGGGAUGACUUGUGGGUAGCGGUGAAAUUCCAAUCGAGCCCGGAGAUAGCUGGUUCUCCCCGAAAUAGCUUUAGGGCUAGCCUCAAGGUGAGAGAUACGGAGGUAGAGCACUGAAUGUCCUAGGGGGUAUUGCACCUACCGAAGACUAUCAAACUCCGAAUGCCGUCAUCUUAUACUUGGGAGUCAGACUGUGGGUGAUAAGAUUCAUAGUCGAAAGGGCAACAGCCCAGAUCGUCAGCUAAGGUCCCUAAAUGUAAGUUAAGUGGUAAAGGAUGUGGGAUUGCACAGACAACCAGGAUGUUGGCUUAGAAGCAGCCACUCAUUCAAAGAGUGCGUAAUAGCUCACUGGUCGAGUGAUCCUGCGCCGAAGAUUUCCGGGGCUAAAACUUACUACCGAAGCUACGGCAUCAGUAAUGAUGGGUA
rnacentral:rRNA from 1 species